rnacentral:rRNA from 1 species
CCAAUAGCGUAUAUUAAAGUUGUUGCAGUUAAAAAGCUCGUAGUUGAAUUUCGGGGUUAGUAGAUUGGUCAUGCCUCUGGUAUGCACUGGUCUCACUGAUUCCUCCUUCCUGAUGAACCGUAAUGCCAUUAAUUUGGUGUUGCGGGGAAUUUGGACUGUUACUUUGAAAAAAUUAGAGUGUUUAAAGCAAGCUAACGCUUGAAUACAUUAGCAUGGAAUAAUGAAAUAGGACGUUCGAUCCUAUUUUGUUGGUUUCUAGGAUUGACGUAAUGAUUAAUAGGGAUAGUUGGGGGCAUUAGUAUUCAAUUGUCAGAGGUGAAAUUCUUGGAUUUAUUGAAGACUAACUACUGCGAAAGCAUUUGCCAAGGAUGUUUUCAUUAAUCAAGAACGAAAGUUAGGGGAUCGAAGACGAUCAGAUACCGUCGUAGUCUUAACCAUAAACUAUGCCGACUAGGGAUCGGAUGAUGUUAAUUUUUUAAUGACUCAUUCGGCGCCUUACG